rnacentral:rRNA from 1 species
GAGUUUGAUCAUGGCUCAGGACGAACGCUGGCGGCGCGCUUAACACAUGCAAGUCGAGCGAGAACCAGGGCUUCGGCCCUGGGGACAGCGGCGAACGGGUGAGUAACACGUGGAUAACCUGCCCUCGGCACCGGGAUAGCCCGGGGAAACCCGGAUUAAUACCGGAUGGCCCUUCCGGCUCACGAGCCGGUCGGAAAAGGUAGCUUCGGCCUCCGGCCGAGGAUGGGUCCGCGGCGGAUUAGCUCGUUGGUGGGGUAACGGCCUACCAAGGCGACGAUCCGUAGCUGGUCUGAGAGGACGAUCAGCCACACUGGGACUGAGACACGGCCCAGACUCCUACGGGAGGCAGCAGUGGGGAAUCUUGCGCAAUGGGCGAAAGCCUGACGCAGCGACGCCGCGUGAGGGAGGAAGGCCUUCGGGUUGUAAACCUCUUUCAGGAGGGACGAAGCUACUCGGGUGAACAGCCCAGAGGGUGACGGUACCUCCAGAAGAAGCCCCGGCUAACUACGUGCCAGCAGCCGCGGUAAUACGUAGGGGGCAAGCGUUGUCCGGAUUUACUGGGCGUAAAGCGCGUGUAGGCGGCCACGCAGGUCCGUUGUGAAAACUGGAGGCUCAACCUCCAGACGUCGACGGAAACCGUGUGGCUAGAGUCCGGAAGAGGAGAGUGGAAUUCCUGGUGU